rnacentral:rRNA from 1 species
UACGGGGGGAGCAAGCGUUGUUCGGAUUUACUGGGCGUAAAGGGCGCGUAGGCGGCUUAACAAGUCACUUGUGAAAUCUCCGGGCUUAAACUCGGAACGGUCAAGUGAUACUGUCGGACUAGAGUACAGAAGGGGCAACUGGAAUUCUCGGUGUAGCGGUGAAAUGCGUAGAUAUCGAGAGGAACACCUGUGGCGAAAGCGGCGCACUGGACCACAACUGACGCUGAGGCGCGAAAGCUAGGGGAGCAAACAGG